rnacentral:rRNA from 1 species
AGAGUUUGAUCCUGGCUCAGGAUGAACGCUAGCUACAGGCUUAACACAUGCAAGUCGAGGGGCAGCAUGGUCUUAGCUUGCUAAGGCCGAUGGCGACCGGCGCACGGGUGAGUAACACGUAUCCAACCUGCCGUCUACUCUUGGACAGCCUUCUGAAAGGAAGAUUAAUACAAGAUGGCAUCAUGAGUCCGCAUGUUCACAUGAUUAAAGGUAUUCCGGUAGACGAUGGGGAUGCGUUCCAUUAGAUAGUAGGCGGGGUAACGGCCCACCUAGUCUUCGAUGGAUAGGGGUUCUGAGAGGAAGGUCCCCCACAUUGGAACUGAGACACGGUCCAAACUCCUACGGGAGGCAGCAGUGAGGAAUAUUGGUCAAUGGACGAGAGUCUGAACCAGCCAAGUAGCGUGAAGGAUGACUGCCCUAUGGGUUGUAAACUUCUUUUAUAAAGGAAUAAAGUCGGGUAUGCAUACCCGUUUGCAUGUACUUUAUGAAUAAGGAUCGGCUAACUCCGUGCCAGCAGCCGCGGUAAUACGGAGGAUCCGAGCGUUAUCCGGAUUUAUUGGGUUUAAAGGGAGCGUAGAUGGAUGUUUAAGUCAGUUGUGAAAGUUUGCGGCUCAACCGUAAAAUUGCAGUUGAUACUGGAUAUCUUGAGUGCAGUUGAGGCAGGCGGAAUUCGUGGUGUAGCGGUGAAAUGCUUAGAUAUCACGAAGAACUCCGAUUGCGAAGGCAGCUUACUAAGCUGUAACUGACAUUGAUGCUCGAAAGUGUGGGUAUCAAACAGGAUUAGAUACCCUGGUAGUCCACACGGUAAACGAUGAAUACUCGCUGUUUGCGAUAUACAGCAAGCGGCCAAGCGAAAGCGUUAAGUAUUCCACCUGGGGAGUACGCCGGCAACGGUGAAACUCAAAGGAAUUGACGGGGGCCCGCACAAGCGGAGGAACAUGUGGUUUAAUUCGAUGAUACGCGAGGAACCUUACCCGGGCUUAAAUUGCAACCGAAUAUGGCGGAAACGCUAUAGCUAGCAAUAGCGGUUGUGAAGGUGCUGCAUGGUUGUCGUCAGCUCGUGCCGUGAGGUGUCGGCUUAAGUGCCAUAACGAGCGCAACCCUUGUUGUCAGUUACUAACAGGUCAUGCUGAGGACUCUGACAAGACUGCCAUCGUAAGAUGUGAGGAAGGUGGGGAUGACGUCAAAUCAGCACGGCCCUUACGUCCGGGGCUACACACGUGUUACAAUGGGGGGUACAGAGGGCCGCUACCACGCGAGUGGAUGCCAAUCCCCAAAACCUCUCUCAGUUCGGACUGGAGUCUGCAACCCGACUCCACGAAGCUGGAUUCGCUAGUAAUCGCGCAUCAGCCACGGCGCGGUGAAUACGUUCCCGGGCCUUGUACACACCGCCCGUCAAGCCAUGGGAGCCGGGGGUACCUGAAGUGCGUAACCGCGAGGAGCGCCCUAGGGUAAAACUGGUGACUGGGGCUAAGUCGUAACAAGGUAGCCGUACCGGAAGGUGCGGCUG